GACGAACGCUGGCGGCGUGCUUAACACAUGCCAGUCGAACGGAAAGGCCCUGCUUUUGUGGGGUGCUCGAGUGGCGAACGGGUGAUUAACACGUGAGUAACCUGCCCUUGACUUUGGGAUAACUUCAGGAAACUGGGGCUAAUACCGGAUAGGAGCUCCUGCUGCAUGGUGGGGGUUGGAAAGUUUCGGCGGUUGGGGAUGGACUCGCGGCUUAUCAGCUUGUUGGUGGGGUAGUGGCUUACCAAGGCUUUGACGGGUAGCCGGCCUGAGAGGGUGACCGGCCACAUUGGGACUGAGAUACGGCCCAGACUCAUACGGGAGGCAGCAGUGGGGAAUAUUGCACAAUGGGCGGAAGCCUGAUGCAGCAACGCCGCGUGCGGGAUGACGGCCUUCGGGUUGUAAACCGCUUUCGCCUGUGACGAAGCGUGAGUGACGGUAAUGGGUAAAGAAGCACCGGCUAACUACGUG
rnacentral:rRNA from 1 species